rnacentral:rRNA from 1 species
UACGGGGGGGGCAAGCGUUGUUCGGAAUUACUGGGCGUAAAGGGUUCGUAGGUGGCCAACUAAGUCAUACGUGAAAUCCCUCAGCUUAACUGGGGAACUGCGUCUGAUACUGGUUGGCUUGAGUGCAGGAGAGGAACGCGGAAUUCCAGGUGUAGCGGUGAAAUGCGUAGAUAUCGGGAGGAACACCAGUGGCGAAGGCGGUUGCCUGGGGCUUUGCUGACGCUGAGGCGCGAAAGCGUGGGGAGCGAUCCGG